rnacentral:tRNA from 1 species
GGCCAGGUGGCGAAGUGGUAACGCUGCGGUUUGCAAAACCGCCAUGCACGGGUUCAAUUCCCGUCCUGGCCU